UACGUAGGUGGCAAGCGUUGUCCGGAAUUAUUGGGCGUAAAGCGCGCGCAGGUGGUUCCUUAAGUCUGAUGUGAAAGCCCACGGCUCAACCGUGGAGGGUCAUUGGAAACUGGGGAACUUGAGUGCAGAAGAGGAAAGUGGAAUUCCAAGUGUAGCGGUGAAAUGCGUAGAGAAUUUGGAGGAACACCAGUGGCGAAGGCGACUUUCUGGUCUGUAACUGACACUGAGGCGCGAAAAGCGUGGGGAGCAAACAGG
rnacentral:rRNA from 1 species